ACUUAUUCAAUGGUAGUAUUAAAGAUCACGACCCCCGUUAUUGAAUCAUACUCUUAGAAGCCAAGAACAAGAUGAAGGGGAUUAUUUUGUGGAUGGUUCUUUUGUUGCUAGUUGCAACAAUGGUAGUGAAGACGAAUGGUUGUCGGGCUUGUGUGGAUAGCUGUAGGACAUACGAGCAGCAAUUGGGGGUUUGUUUCUUUAAAGGAGUUAUUUGCUGUCCCAAAAGAAUUCUUCGCUACCAAACCCCCUCACCACUAUCAUAAAGUAAAUGGUUUCAUUUCAUUAGCUCAAAGUUAUGAUAUUAAAAAUUAAAGAAAACGCACUUUCGUGGCUUUCUCUUCGGCCGGUUUUGAUAUAUAUCAGUACUCCAUGUUACUGUGGGCGAAAUAUCACUUCAAGGGUCUUUUUCGAGGAAUACGAAUUGGAUCUUCGGCCGUUCUUCUCCACCGAUUAAGCUGACAUCAUCAUCACCAAAGUUUCAAGAAAGGAACAAUGAAAAAACAUUAUACUUUUUAGGUUGUAACGACCGUUUCUUACUCCUACGCGCGCACCACCCACGCACACUACUUUUCUCUGCACUGAAAACAGAAAUCUUAUGUGUGCAUCGAUUUUUGAGGAUUUCAUGUUAAAUUGAGUAAACAUUGGUAAUUUGG